ensembl:lncRNA
AGUCAAUGUGGAGGCUAUAUACAGGGUGUUACGGUACAGAGUCAAUGUGUAGGCUAUAUACAGGGUAUUACGGUACAGAGUCAAUGUGGAGGCUAUAUACAGGGGGUACCGGUACAGAGUCAAUGUGGAGACUAUAUACAGGGUAUUACGGUACAGAGUCAAUGUGGAGGCUAUAUACAGGGGGUAUCAUUACAGAGUCAAUGUGGAGGCUAUAUACAGAGGGUACCGGUACAGAGUCAAUGUGGAGGCUGUAUACAGGGGGUACCGGUACAGAGUCAAUGUGGAGGCUAUAUAGAGGAUGUACCGGUACAGAGUCAAUGUGGAGGCUAUAUACAGUGGGUACUGGUACAGAGUCAAUGUGGAGGCUAUAUACAGUGGGUACUGGUACAGAGUCAAUGUGGAGGCUAUAUACAGGGUAUUACGGUACAGAGUCAAUGUGGAGGCUAUAUACAGGUGGUACCGGUACAGAGUCAAUGUGGAGGCUAUAUACAGGGGUACCGGUACAGAGUCAAUGUGGGACUAUAUACAGGCUAUAUACAGAGGGUACCGGUACAGAGUCAAUGGGGAGACUAUAUACAGGGGGUACCGGUACAGAGUCAAUGUGGAGACUAUAUACAGGGUAUUACGGUACAGAGUCAAUGUGGAGGCUAUAUACAGGGGUACCAGUACAGAGUCAAUGUGGAGGCUAUAUACAGGGGGUACCGGUACAGAGUCAAUGUGGAGGCUAUAUACAGGGGGUACCGGUACAGAGUCCAUGUGGAGGCUAUAUACAGGGUAUUACGGUACAGAGUCAAUGGGGAGAAUAUAUACAGGGUAUUACGGUACAGAGUCAAUGUGGAGGCUAUAUACAGGGGGUACCAGUACAGAGUCAAUGUGGAGGCUAUAUACAGGGUAUUACGGUACAGAGUCA